rnacentral:rRNA from 1 species
GACGUAGGAGGCGAGCAUUGUCCGGAGUUACUGGGCGUAAAGCGCGCGCAGGCGGUCACGCAGGUCAUCUGUGAAAGCACUCGGCUCAACCGGGAUGUUGCGGGUGAAACCGCGUGACUUGAGGGUGGGAGAGGUCGGUGGAAUUCCCGGUGUAGUGGUGAAAUGCGUAGAGAUCGGGAGGAACACCCGUAGCGAAGGCGGCCGACUGGACCACACCUGACGCUGAGGCGCGAAGGCCAGGGGAGCGAACGGG